rnacentral:rRNA from 1 species
CCCGGCGAUGUCCGCGGAGGACAU